GCAGUAGAACGCUGAAGAGAGGAGCUUGCUCUUCUUGGAUGAGUUGCGAACGGGUGAGUAACGCGUAGGUAACCUGCCUUGUAGCGGGGGAUAACUAUUGGAAACGAUAGCUAAUACCGCAUAACAAUGGAUGACACAUGUCAUUUAUUUGAAAGGGGCAAUUGCUCCACUACAAGAUGGACCUGCGUUGUAUUAGCUAGUAGGUGAGGUAAUGGCUCACCUAGGCGACGAUACAUAGCCGACCUGAGAGGGUGAUCGGCCACACUGGGACUGAGACACGGCCCAGACUCCUACGGGAGGCAGCAGUAGGGAAUCUUCGGCAAUGGGGGCAACCCUGACCGAGCAACGCCGCGUGAGUGAAGAAGGUUUUCGGAUCGUAAAGCUCUGUUGUAAGUCAAGAACGGGUGUGAGAGUGGAAAGUUCACACUGUGACGGUAGCUUACCAGAAAGGGACGGCUAACUACGUGCCAGCAGCCGCGGUAAUACGUAGGUCCCGAGCGUUGUCCGGAUUUAUUGGGCGUAAAGCGAGCGCAGGCGGUUUGAUAAGUCUGAAGUUAAAGGCUGUGGCUCAACCAUAGUUCGCUUUGGAAACUGUCAAACUUGAGUGCAGAAGGGGAGAGUGGAAUUCCAUGUGUAGCGGUGAAAUGCGUAGAUAUAUGGAGGAACACCGGUGGCGAAAGCGGCUCUCUGGUCUGUAACUGACGCUGAGGCUCGAAAGCGUGGGGAGCGAACAGGAUUAGAUACCCUGGUAGUCCACGCCGUAAACGAUGAGUGCUAGGUGUUGGAUCCUUUCCGGGAUUCAGUGCCGCAGCUAACGCAUUAAGCACUCCGCCUGGGGAGUACGACCGCAAGGUUGAAACUCAAAGGAAUUGACGGGGGCCCGCACAAGCGGUGGAGCAUGUGGUUUAAUUCGAAGCAACGCGAAGAACCUUACCAGGUCUUGACAUCCCGAUGCUAUUUCUAGAGAUAGAAAGUUACUUCGGUACAUCGGUGACAGGUGGUGCAUGGUUGUCGUCAGCUCGUGUCGUGAGAUGUUGGGUUAAGUCCCGCAACGAGCGCAACCCCUAUUGUUAGUUGCCAUCAUUCAGUUGGGCACUCUAGCGAGACUGCCGGUAAUAAACCGGAGGAAGGUGGGGAUGACGUCAAAUCAUCAUGCCCCUUAUGACCUGGGCUACACACGUGCUACAAUGGUUGGUACAACGAGUUGCGAGUCGGUGACGGCGAGCUAAUCUCUUAAAGCCAAUCUCAGUUCGGAUUGUAGGCUGCAACUCGCCUACAUGAAGUCGGAAUCGCUAGUAAUCGCGGAUCAGCACGCCGCGGUGAAUACGUUCCCGGGCCUUGUACACACCGCCCGUCACACCACGAGAGUUUGUAACACCCGAAGUCGGUGAGGUAACCUUUGGAGCCAGCCG
rnacentral:rRNA from 1 species